ensembl:lncRNA
GACUAUAGAUAUUGCCGAGACGACCCCAACAGAUCCGGAACAAGGUGUUUGUGUAGCGGAACUGUUCAAUCACACAGGCCCCACUUCAUCGCAGUGCACUGUCAAGAGGUGGGCGGGAAGAACUACGAAGCGUCCAUGUCACACGUGGAUUGUUUUGUCAAGGAGCUGCUGUCCAGUGAUGCCAUGAAGGAGUACAACAGAGUCCGUGUCUACCUCGACGAGAACUACAAAUCCCAGGAGCAUUUCACAGCACUAGGAAGUUGCUACUUCCUUCACGAAUCAUUGAAAAACAUCCAGCAGUUUGAUUUCAAAGCCAAGAAAUUCAAGAAGGUGGUUGGGAAAGAGAUCUACUCAGACACACUAGAGAGCACACCCAUGUUGGAGAAGGAGAAGUUUCCUCAGGACUACUUCCCUGAGUGCAAGUGGUCCAGAAAAGGCUUUAUCAGGACUCGAUGGGCUCUGGCUGACUGUGCUUUUGACCUGGUCAACAUCCACUUGUUCCACGAUGCCUCCAACAUACUGAAGGCCCUGGGCUUCGUCUUAGAUAGGAUCACUGACCAGAGGUUUGAAAAGGUGCCAUAUUUUGUCUUCGGAGACUUCAACUUCAGGUUGGAUACAAGGCAGGUUGUUGAGAGUCUGUGCUCCACUGCCACCAUGCAGACGGUCAGACUAGGUGACACCAAUGAAGUUGACAAGCUAAUAUUCAGAGAAUCUGAGAACGAUCGCAAGGUUGUACUUCAACUUGAAAAGAAGCUUUUCAAUUAUAUUAACCAGGAUGUUUUCCGGGAAAACAAUGGGACCCUGUUUUUACAGUUUGACAGUGAGCUGUCCUGUUUCAAGGAACGGCUGCACGAGCUGGAGAUAUCCUUUCCUCCCAGUUAUCCGUACAGUGAAGACAGCAGUCAGGGAAAGCAGUACAUGAACACUAGAUGCCCUGCCUGGUGUGACCGCGUCCUUAUGUCUGCCACAGCUAAAGACCUGGUCUUAAAGCCUGAAAAUGAGGAGAAGAACUUGGUCUAUGACAAUAUAGGGCCCAACGUCUGCAUGGGGGACCAUAAGGUAACAUCACAGGCCUAUCCCACUUCUGGGUUGUGUUGGGUUGUUUUGCCUGUUUGCGUUUAUGGGUGGUUGUCUGUCUGUGUAUGGAUCUGUAUGUGUGAAAUUGAGUACAUUAUUUUACCAUGUUCUAUUGUUUCAAUUGAAAACUAA